rnacentral:rRNA from 1 species
AUUGAACGCUGGCGGCAGGCUUAACACCUGCAAGUCGAGCGAGCGGCGGACGGGUGAGUAAUGUCUGGGAAACUGCCUGAUGGAGGGGGAUAACUACUGGAAACGGUAGCUAAUACCGCAUACCAUCAGAUGUGCCCAGAUGGGAUUAGCUAGUAGGUGGGGUAAAGGCUCACCUAGGCGACGAGCCCUAGCUGGUCUGAGAGGAGGACCAGCCACACUGGAACUUAGACACGGGCCAGACUCCUACGUGAGGCAGCAGUGGGGAAUAUUUCACAAUGGGCGCAAUCCUGAUGCAGCCAUGCCGCGUGUGUGAAGAAGGCCUUCGGGUUGUAAAGCACUUUCAGCGAGGAGGCGUUACCCGCAGAAGAAGCACCGGCUAACUCCGUGCCAGCAGCCGCGGUAAUAC